UCUCUAUGCCUUAUUUUCCUAAAGGGAGA
rnacentral:piRNA from 1 species